rnacentral:lncRNA from 1 species
AUUUCCACCCAAGGCCAAUAGCAACCACCAGCACAUUUCCAAUCGAAGGCAAAGCCAAGGCCAGGGAAAGGGAAAAGACAUCCAAUGAAGCGGGGUUACCUAAAAAAAUUGUACCGAUACUGAGUUUCCUUCUGAACUUCGUCACCCAGCUUAUUUGCAACGAAAUCCUCUCUGUCGACCACCAGGAACUCUGUCUCCUCCAUGCAGACCACCGUGGCACUCCUUACUGUGGUGCUUAAAAGGCCCAUUUCCUGGGGGAAGCAAGGACAAGGGCAGGUGUGAUUCCACACUCAGUCCUGUAUCCAUCUUCCCUGCCUCUGGCCCCCUCCAGACUCCCCUUCACCCUCCCACCCUUUAUCUGUAUAUGGGAAAGAGACAACAGGUCUGAACAGGCUAGAGAGGAGGGAGUGGAGAGGCCUCGGUGGAGUCUCUGGCAUCCAAGUGUCUAUGAACGGUGAAAAGGCAAACACGGGUGGAGAGAUGUGCGUAGUCCUACUCAUCGGCAUCUGACAGGGUCCCCGAGUCUCUGAAGCAGGGGCUGUUCCCCUCACUGACCUUUCAAAGCGUAUGACCUUGGCCAGGAGCAGCUGUAGAGACUCUGUGUAGCUGCGGUAGCAAUCUAGAGCCUGAAGAAUAUUGCAGAGGUCUUGGAUCUCCUGGUGGGUCCUCCAGGAUGGAUUCUUCUGUGUGAUAGAAAUGGCCCUCGGAGGGAAGUGACCCUGGGAAGACAUGGCCAGAGGACUCCAGCAGGCGACUCCCCAUAUUGUUGCUUGCACGCUCGCCCGUUCUACUCACGGGAAGAGCUGACACGGACUAAGGGUUGGGUGCCAACUAUCAGAGUGAGCAUCUUACACACCCAUCUCACAACAUCUUCAUCCAGCAGGAGAAUCAUUUCCAUAUGGAUGAAGGAACUCAGAAAGCAGGGACUCUGUAGACCAGGCUGGCCUCAAACUCAGAGAUCUGCCUGCCUCUGCCUCCCAAGUGCUGGGAUUAAAGGCGUGCACCACCACGCCCAGCAUACGCUUCACUAAUGAAGGGACAUGAAGGUCGAAUCCAGGAGAGCCACGUAAGAGGACCCACACCUCCAAGGGGUAGAGUGGAGCAGUGGAACAGGCACAGUGUUGUUAGUACUGAUUACAAAGUUCUGUUCUCCCUCUUUCCUCAGAGAAGAGCCCAAAUGGGUCAGACCAGGGUGGCGUCAGGUCUGAGAGAGUUAGACUGUGUCUGACUCCUAUAAAUAGACAGGCCCCUUUAACUUUAAAGUUGGAUAUUAAAUAAGGAUUUAAUAUCCAGGAUUUGGUGGUCAGAAGAGAGGAAGGAAGUAAUGGUGCUGGAGUUGAAAGACCGCACACAUCACACGGGCCAAAAGACCCAUCCAGGUAAAGCCCUUCUCAUGUCAGAGUGGGACUGCAGUUAAAGAACAUCCAACAUAGGGGGCCAUGUAUACUGACAUCCCUCAGAGAGUUCAGGGCCAAACCAGAACUCACCAACAGGCCAAGGGGUUUCCCACCAUCUGGCUUUCUUCUCCUCUGGCUGGGCAUCCUGUGUCCUCUUUUUUGCUUUCUGCUGUUUUCCCAUAAGUCCAAGCCCAGAAACUCUUAGAUUGGCUCUUCUCAGUGAAAAAGUGGUAACAGUUGAUAUGUCAGGGACAAGGGACAGGAUCACUGUGAUUAGAACUAAGUGGCCACUUCAUAGUGCCCCUGGUGCUGGCAGAAUCUGAACUGAAACCAGCUAUGUCCAGUGCUUCUUCAGGCUGAAGUAGACAGAUGAGCAGACCCACCUGGACACACACACACACACACACACACACACACACACACACACACACACACCAGGAAAAGUCAGCGCUCCACAUACCUCCUCUGCAGCAAAGUCCUCGGUAACAAACGAGAUACGGCCUUGCUUCUUUUUCUGAAAGAAAGGACCCGGAGAAAGGAAAAUCAGUAAAAAUGCCCCUGAAGUUCUACAUCGGAAGCCCUUCUAUCGACCCAGGCCACUCUGCUGAGUCCACCUGUGGCGCAUCUCCCAGAGCCGUUUUGUUAUCACCUCCUCUCAAAAACCCCAGCUCUGCCCUAUGCUAGCAUCAACAACAUACUAUGGAGGCGGUGGCACGUGGUAGAGAGAAGGAAAUGGCAGCAGGGAAAGAAGAAAAAGGGGGAAAAGGAGGAGGAGAAAGAAGCGGACAGACCGGAUAGCGCCGAAGCGGGGAAAGGAGGGACCCAGAGUGGAUGGGUGAAGUCAAGCUUGGUUAAGUUUCGAUAGCAAGUCAAACACGGCCCAUCUUCGAUCUAUUGCUCUACUCCGUCAACAGAACAAAAUUGGUUUUAUCAAGUCCCAUACAACGGUCGGCUGGGCUGGCACAGUCAUGCCCACUAGAAACAGCAAGAGUCACAAAGCCAGCCCAGCUGUCUGACAAAGUUCCAGCGUAGCUGAGCCAGACGCUGCCGUCGCUGUCCUUCUGUCUAAAGCCUCUGCGUGGUGCGUUCUUGGGGACUUUCUGUAUUGGGAUUCAUUUUAUGUCUUUUCCCAAGAAAACUGUGUCUGGGUUUUUCUAGGAAAAGUCUUACACCUACUUAAACUGCUGCUUCUAGCUUUCUCUGGCCCUGUUUGGAAGUCUUUAUGCCCUGGAGAUCAUUAGGUACAGGGAAGCACCAGUAAGUUGGAAUGGGACUCCUAAAUGAGGCCAUUACCCCAGAAAUCUUGUCUGCCCCCAAAUAAAAUCAAACAGUAAAAACGGUGCAGGGUAAACAGAAACAACUGACAAACUCUGAUCAGCCAGGCGACCAGGUUACAGAUUCAAGCCCCCCCCCCCUUUAUGUCCCUCUUAGGGCUCUCUGAAUACAUACUUUAAAGAUAGGGGGUCAUACAGGGUACAGCCCCAGGAGGAAUAGAAUUCAGGAAACAAAAUAGAUUCUCUAAAAUAAACUUUCUCGACUUUAUAGCAGAGAGGAUGAAACAACAGGGUAAAGUAUUGAGAUUUGCUAUUCAUGAAAAGGCCUGUCCAGAUAUUCACUGUUUGUCUGGGGUACUUUAAAACUGCAAAUUCUGCCAGCCCUAAAAGCCAGGCUGUUCAUAUAAUAACUGUGUUUGCUUUGGAGGGGAUAUUCUUUAGAUUCUUUAAAUUGGAAUUAUAAGGCUGAUGAUAAAAACAAAAUCUGUUCUGUUUGUAUUUUC